rnacentral:rRNA from 1 species
UACGUAGGUGGCCAGCGUUGUCCGGAUUUACUGGGCGUAAAGAGCGCGCAGGCGGUCGUUCAAGUCGAGUGUGAAAGCCCCCGGCUCAACUGGGGAGGGUCACUUGAUACUGAUCGACUCGAAGGCAGGAGAGGGAAGCGGAAUUCCCGGUGUAGUGGUGAAAUGCGUAGAUAUCGGGAGGAACACCAGUGGCGAAGGCGGCUUCCUGGCCUGUUCUUGACGCUGAGGCGCGAAAGCUAGGGGAGCAAACGGG